rnacentral:rRNA from 1 species
UUAAGCGACUAAGCGUACACGGUGGAUGCCCUGGCAGUCAGAGGCGAUGAAGGACGUGCUAAUCUGCGAUAAGCGUCGGUGAGGUGAUAUGAACCGUUAUAACCGGCGAUUUCCGAAUGGGGAAACCCAGUGUGUUUCGACACACUAUCAUUAACUGAAUCCAUAGGUUAAUGAGGCGAACCGGGGGAACUGAAACAUCUAAGUACCCCGAGGAAAAGAAAUCAACCGAGAUUCCCCCAGUAGCGGCGAGCGAACGGGGAGGAGCCCAGAGCCUGAAUCAGUGUGUGUGUUAGUGGAAGCGUCUGGAAAGGCGCGCGAUACAGGGUGACAGCCCCGUACACAAAAAUGCACAUGCUGUGAGCUCGAUGAGUAGGGCGGGACACGUGGUAUCCUGUCUGAAUAUGGGGGGACCAUCCUCCAAGGCUAAAUACUCCUGACUGACCGAUAGUGAACCAGUACCGUGAGGGAAAGGCGAAAAGAACCCCGGCGAGGGGAGUGAAAAAGAACCUGAAACCGUGUACGUACAAGCAGUGGGAGCCUCUUAAUGGGGUGACUGCGUACCUUUUGUAUAAUGGGUCAGCGACUUAUAUUCUGUAGCAAGGUUAACCGAAUAGGGGAGCCGAAGGGAAACCGAGUCUUAACUGGGCGUUAAGUUGCAGGGUAUAGACCCGAAACCCGGUGAUCUAGCCAUGGGCAGGUUGAAGGUUGGGUAACACUAACUGGAGGACCGAACCGACUAAUGUUGAAAAAUUAGCGGAUGACUUGUGGCUGGGGGUGAAAGGCCAAUCAAACCGGGAGAUAGCUGGUUCUCCCCGAAAGCUAUUUAGGUAGCGCCUCGUGAAUUCAUCUCCGGGGGUAGAGCACUGUUUCGGCAAGGGGGUCAUCCCGACUUACCAACCCGAUGCAAACUGCGAAUACCGGAGAAUGUUAUCACGGGAGACACACGGCGGGUGCUAACGUCCGUCGUGAAGAGGGAAACAACCCAGACCGCCAGCUAAGGUCCCAAAGUCAUGGUUAAGUGGGAAACGAUGUGGGAAGGCCCAGACAGCCAGGAUGUUGGCUUAGAAGCAGCCAUCAUUUAAAGAAAGCGUAAUAGCUCACUGGUCGAGUCGGCCUGCGCGGAAGAUGUAACGGGGCUAAACCAUGCACCGAAGCUGCGGCAGCGACACUAUGUGUUGUUGGGUAGGGGAGCGUUCUGUAAGCCUGUGAAGGUGGCCUGUGAGGGUUGCUGGAGGUAUCAGAAGUGCGAAUGCUGACAUAAGUAACGAUAAAGCGGGUGAAAAGCCCGCUCGCCGGAAGACCAAGGGUUCCUGUCCAACGUUAAUCGGGGCAGGGUGAGUCGACCCCUAAGGCGAGGCCGAAAGGCGUAGUCGAUGGGAAACAGGUUAAUAUUCCUGUACUUGGUGUUACUGCGAAGGGGGGACGGAGAAGGCUAUGUUGGCCGGGCGACGGUUGUCCCGGUUUAAGCGUGUAGGCUGGUUUUCCAGGCAAAUCCGGAAAACCAAGGCUGAGGCGUGAUGACGAGGCACUACGGUGCUGAAGUGACAAAUGCCCUGCUUCCAGGAAAAGCCUCUAAGCAUCAGGUAACAUCAAAUCGUACCCCAAACCGACACAGGUGGUCAGGUAGAGAAUACCAAGGCGCUUGAGAGAACUCGGGUGAAGGAACUAGGCAAAAUGGUGCCGUAACUUCGGGAGAAGGCACGCUGAUAUGUAGGUGAAGCGACUUGCUCGUGGAGCUGAAAUCAGUCGAAGAUACCAGCUGGCUGCAACUGUUUAUUAAAAACACAGCACUGUGCAAACACGAAAGUGGACGUAUACGGUGUGACGCCUGCCCGGUGCCGGAAGGUUAAUUGAUGGGGUUAGCGGUAACGCGAAGCUCUUGAUCGAAGCCCCGGUAAACGGCGGCCGUAACUAUAACGGUCCUAAGGUAGCGAAAUUCCUUGUCAGGU